rnacentral:rRNA from 1 species
UACGUAGGGUGCGAGCGUUAAUCGGAAUUACUGGGCGUAAAGUGUGCGCAGGUGGCUGAGCAAGUCGAGUGUGAAAUCCCCGGGCUUAACUUGGGAAUUGCGCUCGAAACUACUUGGCUCGAGUGUGGCAGAGGAAGGUGGAAUUCCACGUGUAGCGGUGAAAUGCGUAGAGAUGUGGAGGAACACCAAUGGCGAAGGCAGCCUUCUGGGCCAACACUGACACUCAUGCACGAAAGCGUGGGGAGCAAACAGG